rnacentral:tRNA from 1 species
GAGCUCGUAGCUCAGUUGGUUAGAGCGCUACGUUGACAUCGUAGAGGUCACUGGUUCGAGUCCUGUCGAGCUCA